ACAACUUGUAUCAACAUUUACAUCACGCGCACUGCGCCUUUCGUCUGAGACGGUGUCCAUGAUUUAUUUGGUUCAAAUGAAUGUGCAGCGUGCUCCGUCUCUGUGAGCUGAGAGAUAGAGAGGAGGAAAUACCAGGCCACUCUGGGAAAUACAGUACCACGGAGACGUCUGAUGCUCUUCACCAAAAAUAACAUACGUGGAUGUAUUUGCAAUGAAUGCCAUGCAAAAAAGAAGUACUGAGAUUCCCUGUCAGCACAUCGACGCGAUUGACAGAAGUUUUCAGCGACCCUGUUGAGAAAGAGAAAAGUGCUCUCAAAUGCGUUGCAAGUAUCGGGGCUCAAGGACUAUCUCGGCUUCUUUUUUUAUUUUGCUUCAAACACAAUCGGACUCCUCCGGUCGCCAACAGAAGCCUACAGUAUUAUAAGGUUGAUGCGUAGACAGUAUGAGCAACAUGAUGAACAUAGAAGGAGAUUAUAUCUGGGGUUCCGCCCUGCAUUCAUGUUGUGAUGGAGCAAAGCCCCGCUCCCUGAUCGACACACGUCUGGUAUAUGCUGUGCUGUUACCCGAUCACUUGUUUUUGAAGCGGUACAAUAUCUCACGCCCGCUUUUCAUAUCGCAGACAGAGAUAUCGGGUGUCAGCCAGACGUGACCCAGUUUAGUAACUGAGCAACAUUUCGGAGGAUUUCCAACAGGUGUGGAACAAAGGGAAGGCUUCGUUGUUCGUAAUAGAAAGAAUGAUCCGGUUUCAGAUCGUCUUCAUGUGCUUGCUUGUUAAGUGACAAUUAAGUGAAGAGAGAUUCACUUCCCCUUUACCAAACGAACGUUAAUAAAGCAUAAAGCAUAAUGCGUUACAGUGAUGAAAUGGGAUUGUGCCGUUUCCGUAAGUUCCUGAAACAGUGCUGUUUAAGUCCUACGUAGCUUGGACAGCUAUCUCGUUAGAAGUGUGCCAUUUCAAUAGAUUCCAACACAAUACUCCUAUUUAAAGUGUCUCAAAGAUGGGGAUCGACGCAUGAAGCCAGGACAAAGAAACAUCGACAGCCA
ensembl:lncRNA